AAGUACGUGAAAUUGUUGAAAGGGAAGCGCUUGCAACCAGACUUGCUCGCGGGUGAUCAGCCGUCCCUUCGGGGUAGGUGCACUCUCCCGCGAUCAGGCCAGCAUCGGUUCCGGCGGUCGGACAAAGGCUCCGGGAACGUAGCUCCCCUCGGGGAGUGUUAUAGCCCGAGGUGCAAUGCGGCCAGCCGGGACCGAGGACCGCGCUUAUGCUAGGAUGCUGGCGUAAUGGUUGCCAGCGACCCGUCUUGAAACACGGACCAAGGAGUCGACCAACGUCGCGAGUGCUUGGGCGUCAAACCCAUGCGCGCAAUGAAAGUGAACGGAGGUGAGAGCCCCCCCCCGGGGGUGCACCAUCGACCGAUCCCGAUGUCUUCGGACGGAUUUGAGUAUGAGCGUCGCCGGUCGGACCCGAAAGAUGGUGAACUAUGCGCGGAUAGGGUGAAGCCAGAGGAAACUCUGGUGGAGGCUCGCAGCGGUUCUGACGUGCAAAUCGAUCGUCAAAUCUACGCAUAGGGGCGAAAGACUAAUCGAACCAUCUAGUAGCUGGUUCCUGUC
rnacentral:rRNA from 1 species